CAGCCACGCAGAGUUGAUUUGAGUCGCACCAGUGGGAGAAGCCAGGGCGCCUGCAGCUGUGACUAGCCGUGCACCUCAGUUCUAGUCCGUGGCAGUGAACAGAAGUGUGCUGGCAUGAAAGAGAGCUUGCACCUUCCUCACAAGAAAAGGAAGAACUCCCUUGGCAUGACUGGCAGAGUCUAGGCCACAUCCCAGUUCCCUGGUAGGAAGGGCUCUGAGCACAGAGGGUGCAGCAAGAUGCCAGCCCAAGGUCACUUUUCAUCAGCCUGAGGCUUUGACCACUUCCAGGCAUCACAGGUCCCUGGACGCACACUCGGCAACAACACGGUCUGAAGUCUACAUGAGAAAGGUCCAGAUCCCUUCGCAGGACGGCCGCACACAGGCCCAUGGGUUGCCAGAGCUGCUUCCUGGUUCCUGGGCAGCUCAGGAACCCGAACAGUUUCUUCCUUCAAGUGGAUGCAGUUGGUUCCUCUCCUCCUGGGAAAAUACUGCCUUCUGUGUAAAAGGCACUGAACCAGCAAAAACAACUUCAGGACACAUGUAGAACGGCAGACUGACAUCUGUCGUCCGCCCACCCCCAAACAUUGAGCCUUCCAAAACAAUGUCCUCUUUUGGGGGGAUGGGAGUUGGAUUCUAACCUUCCUUCCAGGGGCAAGAGCGCAGGAGUGAGAGCUGCACAGUGAAUGGAUUCUUUUGC